CUUAGUGGCGGACGGGUGAGUAACGCGUGGGAAACCUGCCCUGUACCGGGGGAUAACACUUAGAAAUAGGUGCUAAUACCGCAUAAGCGCACAGCUUCGCAUGGAGCAGUGUGAAAAACUCCGGUGGUACAGGAUGGUCCCGCGUCUGAUUAGCCAGUUGGCGGGGUAACGGCCCACCAAAGCGACGAUCAGUAGCCGGCCUGAGAGGGUGGACGGCCACAUUGGGACUGAGACACGGCCCAA
rnacentral:rRNA from 1 species